UACGUAGGGCGCAAGCGUUAUCCGGAAUUAUUGGGCGUAAAGAGCUCGUAGGCGGUUUGUCGCGUCUGCCGUGAAAGUCCGGGGCUCAACUCCGGAUCUGCGGUGGGUACGGGCAGACUAGAGUGAUGUAGGGGAGACUGGAAUUCCUGGUGUAGCGGUGAAAUGCGCAGAUAUCAGGAGGAAACCAGAUGGCGAAGGCAGGUCUCUGGGAGUUAACUGCCGCUGAGGAGCGAAAGCAUGGGAGCGAACAGG
rnacentral:rRNA from 1 species